UUUCCGUAGGUGAACCUGCGGAAGGAUCAUUACAGAGUUCAUGCCCUUCGGGGUAGACCUCCCACCCUUUGUAUACCGUGCCUUUGUUGCUUUGGCGGACGCUUCGGCAGCCGCCAGAGGACCCUAAACUCUUGUUUACAGUGUCGUCUGAGUACUAUAUAAUAGUUAAAACUUUCAACAACGGAUCUCUUGGUUCUGGCAUCGAUGAAGAACGCAGC
rnacentral:misc_RNA from 1 species